GAUGAAGAACGUAGCGAAAUGCGAUAAGUAAUGUGAAUUGCAGAAUUCAGUGAAUCAUCGAAUCUUUGAACGCACAUUGCGCCCGCCAGUAUUCUGGCGGGCAUGCCUGUUCGAGCGUCAUUUCAACCAUCAAGCCCCCGGGCUUGUGUUGGGGACCUGCGGCUGCCGCAGGCCCUGAAAACCAGUGGCGGGCUCGCUAGUCACUCCGAGCGUAGUAGUUACAUCUCGCUCAGGGCGUGCUGCGGGUUCCGGCCGUUAAAAGCCUUUUACCCCAAGGUUGACCUCGGAUCAGGUAGGAAAACCCGCUGAACUUAAGCAUAUCAAUAAGCGGAGGA
rnacentral:misc_RNA from 1 species